UAGGGAAUCUUCGGCAAUGGGGGGAACCCUGACCGAGCAACGCCGCGUGAGUGAAGAAGGUUUUCGGAUCGUAAAGCUCUGUUGGUAAGGAAGAACGAGUGUGAGAAUGGAAAGUUCAUGCUGUGACGGUACUUAACCAGAAAGGGACGGCUAACUACGUGCCAGCAGCCGCGGUAAUACGUAGGUCCCGAGCGUUGUCCGGAUUUAUUGGGCGUAAAGCGAGCGCAGGCGGUUAGAAAAGUCUGAAGUGAAAGGCAGUGGCUCAACCAUUGUAGGCUUUGGAAACUGUUUAACUUGAGUGCAGAAGGGGAGAGUGGAAUUCCAUGUGUAGCGGUGAAAUGCGUAGAUAUAUGGAGGAACACCGGUGGCGAAAGCGGCUCUCUGGUCUGUAACUGACGCUGAGGCUCGAAAGCGUGGGGAGCGAACAGG
rnacentral:rRNA from 1 species